GACGAACCGUGCGAACGUUAUUCGGAAUCACUGGGCUUAAAGGGCGCGUAGGCGGGCCGCAUAGUCAGGGGUGAAAUCCUCCAGCUUAACUGGAGAAGUGCCUCUGAUACUGGCGGCCUCGAGGGGUGCAGGGGCGUGCGGAACUUAGGGUGGAGCGGUGAAAUGCGUAGAUAUCGGAAGGAACGCCGGUGGCGAAAGCGACGUGCUGGACCCCUUCUGACGCUGAGGCGCGAAAGCCAGGGGAGCAAACGGG
rnacentral:rRNA from 1 species